rnacentral:lncRNA from 1 species
AUGGCUAACUCUGUCUUGCAGCCCAUGCAGGGUUACAUCCUUGCUCUGUGCUUUGGGUCAGGGUGCCAACACCACAAGACCGUUUUGAUUUUUUCAAGGAGAACUGUUUCACUUUCCCUACUUGAAGCGGUUCUUCACUGGGUAACGACUAGCAGUAAGUGGAGAUCUGCUAUUUUAUUAUUUCACUUUCUCUCCCUUCUCAGCUGGAAGAGGACCAGGUCACACUCACGAGGGCUGAGCACGAGAUGGCGCCCGAGCCCGCGCCAGGCCAGCGGCCGGCUCCUGGCAGCCUUCAGGGCCGCGCCCACCUCACCCCGCCCUCCCCGCGCCUCAGAAAUGGCGCAGUUUUGGCCUCUCCCUGUAGGAACCGAAGGGAAGAGCUGUAGCAGCGCCCCGCAGCCCGGUCCCGGCCGGGAGCAGAACACGCUCCGAAGAGGGGCCGGGCGAUGCCAGCAGAGGGCGCUGCCGCCCGCCCUCUCGGGGCCGGCCUCGGCUACCGCAGCUAACAGCAGGUAGGAUCCUGAAGUGGCUGCCUGCCAAGGACCAGGCUACAGUGCUGCAAAGAAGAAAGUACAAGACAGAAGAAUCUCUGAACAGUCCAGCUACCAGCAGUGGCAUUGCUUUGCUUUUAGGAGCUUUCUAUCCUGCAAUAUCCAUGAGGCUGUCUCUGUUGGAGAGAGCAAGGAGACCUCCCAGGGCUCUCUGAACUUGUGAGGGAUCAGAAGCAGCAGCACCAGAAGAAUCAGCAGAGGCUCCAAGGCUUCUGCAGAUAGUAUCUAUAUGAGCAUCUAUGUCCAUGAUGCUCUUCCUCUCCCUGUUUUUGAUCACAAGUUGAAAAGUCUUGGAAAUACAGUUCAGAAGAGUUAAAAACUCCCAGAAAUACAGAUUCAGAAACCUCAGAAACACUGAAAGUUGGACAUAAACCAAGGAGCUGCAGGAGGGCAUGCAUAACCACUGACACUUUAUGUCUGUGACUGUACUUCAAAUAAAGGAGAUGGAAUAUUAAAAAGUCCCUACCCU